UUAUAUUCUAAUCCCUUUUUAUUUUUUAUUUUGAUACAGUGUCUUGCUAAGUUUCCCGCACUGGCCUUGAACUUGUGAUCCUCCUACAUCAGAAUUCCAAAUUGCUGUGAUUGCCAUAAUGGAUAUGUUUCAAGACCCUCCGUGGAUGCCAGAAAUGAAGGGAACUCAGCCUCAACAGAGAAAAUUCAGGCUCUGCAGCUUACAAAAAUAUCAACUGAAGGAGUUUUCUUCUUUAAAUUUUAGAAAGAAUCGUCGGGAAGAGCCAAGAAUUAGAGGGAAAACAACAAUAAUAAUCUCACCAAUAAAUUUGUAAAAAUUCACCAUUUGCAAUACAAUCUGUGUAAGAUGGAAGGCACACUCUACUCAGAAUAUCCAAGAUAGAAAUUUACUUAGGACUUUCCCAGAUAGAGUUGUCUGGUAUUGCAUACAAUUGAGAAGUGCCAAAUCUGGAUGGAAGUUUAAGGUUUAGGCAUUUUAAAAGUCAGGACUCUAUAUAUAUAAUUUUCAUGUAAAAUAGGAGGUGCAUAUUUUGUAUUUUUCACAUUAAAGUAGAAAUGAACAGAACAACGUCCAUGAUGGAUUGCUAAAUGAGAACAAGUUGCAUGUAUAUGUACAAUACGACUUUUAUGAGUAGAAAUGGCACUCAAAUCCUCUAGAUGCAGCUUUUUUUUUAACAUAUUUGGUGAAACUAAGAAAGAAUAUAUAAUAGGUAUUAGCAUUAAACAUCAUAUGAUGAGACAAGUACAGGGAAAAUUAAUGGAGGUAUGACUAUAAUAAAUUUAUAAAAAACAUUAUUCUUUUGUACUAUUCUAGUGUUUUUUGUUUUUGUUUUUGUUUUUCUGUUGUAGCUUCAGAGGUAUGAGGUUUCAAAUUUUGGAACAGGCAUUUAAGAUUUAAAGGAUUUAAAACAAUAUUUUUAACAUAAAAUAAAAACUAGACAACAAGAGUAUUCUAAAUUUAAAUAUGUGUGUGGGGGGGUGUAUUAAUGUGAUGCCAGCUACUGUUUGUAAUCGCUGAAAGGAUAACUCCACAUCUGCAGUGUAAUGUACUCUAAAAAAUAUAAUUUCAAAAAAACUGUGUUAAGCAUAAAUAAAAUUGAAUUCUAAUUGAUG
rnacentral:lncRNA from 1 species